UACGGAAGGUCCGGGCGUUAUCCGGAAUUACUGGGUGUAAAGGGUGAGUAGGCGGCAUGGUAAGCCAGAUGUGAAAGCCUUGGGCUUAACCCGAGGAUUGCAUUUGGAACUAUCAAGCUAGAGUACAGGAGAGGAAAGCGGAAUUCCUAGUGUAGCGGUGAAAUGCGUAGAUAUUAGGAAGAACACCAGUGGCGAAGGCGGCUUUCUGGACUGAAACUGACGCUGAGGCACGAAAGCGUGGGGAGCGAACAGG
rnacentral:rRNA from 1 species